rnacentral:lncRNA from 1 species
CUGCGUAAAUAAUUUUUGUAGCGUAAAAGCAAAAUAAAUUCAUACAUACAGUGGCACACAUAGCCAAGUAUACAAAAUAUUCUACAAUGACAUGUGGGUCUCAAAAUAACCAAAAUAAACACAACGGUAAACCUGCGAUUUCUAAGGGUGCGAACCCAAUAGCAAACCCUCGACAAAAUCGACGGUCUACAGAUUUCCCUGAGCUUGAAAUGUGUGAAAGGAGGGUGGUGAAUUUUUAUAAACCCAGUGAGUAAGCAAAGUUCAUCUACAACAUCUAAAGCUGAGUAAAUGGAGACAAUUUAAAAUAUCUCAUCAUAAUAUGAUUCAUAACAUCAAAUCUCAUUUCAUUUUAUAUAAAUCAAUUACAUUUCGUAAAAAUCAACAAGGCUUAUGAUUCUCGUAAAAACUUAGCUCGUGCCA